GGUUGGAUUGCAUUUCUUUCAAGGGAUAAGUCAAGUGAGAAGUGAAUGGAGCAUAGCCUGAAAAAAGCUGGCGCUGCCCAGCACUCCGAUUCUCACCUUCAUCGCUCACUAUCAAUUGAAACAGAAGGAGAAGAAUGAAUUUCGCUUAGUCGCACUUUAUGGGACAUUCUUCUUAUAAAUGGUUGAUAGAAUCGACGUACUAAAUGAAUCAAGAAGGUUGGGAAGGCUACAUUUGUCUAAUCGAACUUAAAAGACACUAAAGUCUUCAAUUGGUAGGUUUCAAAAUUUCUUUGCAGUCCUAAUUUGAAUAUUGCCAAGGUGUGGAAGUUCUCAGUUUGACUAGAUUUCCAUGGCCAACAAGAUUCUGUUUGUCUUACAGCUUUGUGACAACCAAAGACUAAAAGCCUAUUGGUCUAUGAAAGCAAUAUUUCUUAAAAUUUCUCUGGAAAAAUAGUGUAAAACAAGAAACUGAAUGAAUCCAUGGCCAGUUGAGAAGGAUUAAUUUUUAUUUUUAUUUUUUAUUUUUUUAUUUUUAUUUUUUGUAUUUCUGGUAACAUGAGUAGCAUGGAUAUAUUAUAAUUGUUGGAUACUGCACAUGCUCUUUGUGGAGGCUCAUACUAACUCUUCAGGUUCUGUAUCUUUUUGAUAAAUUAAAAAAAAAAAAAAAAAAAACUAAAUUACACUUCUUAAUCAGGGUACUGGAUAACCUAAAAGAUUAUGCAGUAAGAGCUCUCGUUAAUGUUGUUGAUCAUCUCGGCACUGUUGCUUACAAAUUAAAUGACUUGUUUGAGCAAGAAGUAUCAGAUGUCUCUACUGUGGGGUUAAAGAUUUCAUGUCUCAAUCAGAUCCUUCCACAUGAUUGUAGAGAAUGGACAGUCAUGAUCUAUCCAUGUUCAUAGGGAAGUUUCUUCUCAUCUAGUUUGUAAUUACAAAUCAGUUGGAUGUUCAGCUGAAAGCAGUGCAGUUGCUUGGUGACCUGUUUGCUUUACCUGACUGCAUUAUUACAGAAACAUUUAAGUUACUUUUCUC